CCGCCUCUCCGCGGCCGCCGCCGCCUCCGCCUCCGGCGGCGCCUCCGCCCCCGCGUCCUCGUCUUCAUCCGCCGACUACUCCUUUGCCCCCUUGAUGAGUCCUCCUCGUCCGACUAUGACGCCGAGCCCUCCCCCACCUUCUCCCUCUUCCUUGCCUUCGCGGAGCAGUUCGUCUCCUGCCCGCAUCCCAAAAUGCCCGCCGUCACGGACGUCGCUGUACUAACGUAGGGAAUUAUUGUAUCAGGGGAAGAGAUUUGAGGACUUGGACAACGAGGACGUCGAGGAGAGCUACGAGCGGUUCCGGCGGCGCGAGCGGCGAGGGGUGGUAAUUGUAACUCUAUCACAUCCAGUAGCAACUUAUCACUUUCAAGACUUAGAACUGCAUGUGAGAACUCAGCCACUGAAUCAUUGUUCUAUAAAAAGGUUCACAGGGUGUGUAUUUUAGAAAUAAAUGUUGCCUAUGAUCAAGCAUCCCUCAAAAUAAUUGACCAUACCAGUUUGCAUGCUUGAGCUAUUUUUGUAGAAUAUUAAAAGAACUUGGGUAUCCAUUAUUGUGAGAGAGGCAUUAUGAGUGUUAUUCUAAAGUAAGAUCCAAAUUAUUGUUUGAUUACUUCAGGAACUUCAUCAAAAUGUUGAGAAAUUACCACAUGCAUAUAUCUCUUUAGCAUAGAUCUAUUUCUCUUGUGAGUUACAAGUAAAGCAAUGGCAACAACGUUUUGUUGGGCUAUGCUUAUAUGCUGUCUGUGCUUUCACUAAAGUUUUGAAGGUUGAAUUCACAUGAAUCUUCAGCAUUUAUGAAAAGAAGUAGACCUUACUUGUAUCCUUGAGAGCUUUCUACAAAAACAAAAUGAUUUAUGAACAUGCCACUUAGUACUGCUAGGAAGCAUGUGAAGUGCACCUAGAAACUUCUUUACCUGUCUAAUUGCACCGAAGUAUCACUUUCGAACCUAUAAGUUUGCCCCUGGAUCUACAUUGUAGCACUCGAUAAGAACCUAAUAAUAUGAUCUCUUCCAGUAUCCUUAGAAAACAUUCAAAGUAGGUAGCAAUACUUACAGCCGAAAUGAGGUCGUUGCCAUGGAAUGUCUGUUUCAGGGGGGUCCUUAACUUCUAGUGCUUUGUCACAACAGCUCACCAUUUCCUCUGAUUCUAUCUGAAGGCUGCAAAUGCAGAUGACAGAGUCGAGGACCUAGCGAAUUCUUCAUGUGGUCUGUACGUCAUGAAGUUUAUGGAGUAUUGGAAUGGAACAAGGAUGUAAGACCGAGCUUGAUGGAAUGAUUACUCCGGGGGAGGGAUCAUUCAAGCAAGGGAGGGAAGCAAUGCGCGCAUACGCGUGUGUAGGAAGCUCACUCCGGUGGAUAUAUAGGUCUUCAGACGCAAGCUUGCGACAAUAUUGGUUGGUUCCACGAUGAAUGAAAACGAUUCAGUCCCUAAAUACAAUCACCAAGGGGUUGGUGUAAAGGGCACAAAAUAGUUGUACUUUCAUACCAUAUUAUUCUCAUAUAAUGUUUGGACUAUCAUGUAUUAUUGAGCACAAAAAACAUUUUUGCCCUUCCUUCGACACUGUUCUUGUACGUCCAACUUUAAAUAUUGUUAAUAAGUAUGAAUAUAAUAUUUAU